CGGGAUGUAGCGCAGCGGUAGCGCACUUGCUUUGGGAGCAAGGGGUCGCUGGUUCAAAUCCAGUCAUCCCGA
rfam:Turneriella parva DSM 21527, complete genome.